AUGAAGACCUACAUCGCCAACCACUGGUGGGGUGUCGAAGACGGCCGUCAAAAAAUGCAUUGGCGUUCUUGGGCGUGGCUUUCUACCCCAAAGUUCCUCGGUGGAAUGGGCUUCCACGACUUGGUACUUUUCAAUCAGGUGAUGCUUGCGCGUCAGUGUUGGCGUCUCCUGACCGAACCCGACUCUUUGUGUUCGAGGAUCUUAAAGGGACGCUACUUCCCUGAUGGGGAUUUUUGGACUGCCACCAAGCCAAGAUCAUCUUCCUUCACCUGGCGAAGUUUGCUUUUUGGGCGUCAACUGAUUCAGAAGGGAGCUCGGCGGGGUGUAGGAAAUGGCACCCGGAUCAAAGUUAUGGAAGACAACUGGAUUCCA
rnacentral:rRNA from 1 species